CUAAGAUUCUAUUUGAUUGGAUCAGUUAGUAUAAGUACAUAAAAACUUUUCAUGGAUCGUUUUGCUUGGAGUCUUCACUUAUAGAUAAUUUGGAGCUUUUCAUACAAAUUUUUUUUUUAAAAUUAUGCUUACAGACACUUCAGUACUUCACACUUGUAUGAAGUAAGUGAUGACUGAUGAAUAAGACAGUGAGAACAUGAAUAUACUUGAUAUAUUAUGAUGAAUCAGUUAUCUUACAAUACUAAAAGUAAGAUAUCAAGCCCUCUAAAGGCAUCCACGUCAAAUUAAAAAAUCAACCAAUAAAAAUGCUUUUGACUGCCAUGUCACUACCGCUUUUGUAGACUGAAGAGAAAAUGGGCUUUCGUUUGGUUUUAAAAAUAGUUAACCAUGACCCGUGUGAAGCCUACCUCUCUAAACCUAAUCUUCUUCGACGUAGAGUCUGGCGUUUCCAUUCCCUGCAAUCUCCGUUUCUUCUCUGUAUUUAUCAUCACAACCAGUCUAGAUCAUUAAGUUCUGUUCUUCAAUCCUUUUAUAGUGGUAAAACGAAACCAAACAUCUGUAGCAACAAUGUUCUCACCAAAGUGGAGAUGAUAAAGCGCAACUACUGAGAUUACCAAAGAUUGGAAUGGCAUUGACCAAGUCCUUCUCUGAAACCCUCACAGCGCUUCUGCAAAGAUUAGUUUACAUGGAGGACAAGUGAUUUCGUGGAGGAAUUACCAGGGCAAGGAGCUUCUUUUCACUAGCAACAAGUUUGGAGAUUGUGGAUCACUUGAUCAACAUGGGUUUGCAAGGAACAAAAUCUGGCUCAUCGAUGAGAACCCACCUCCCCUUGCCUCAAACGAGUCCUUUGGAAAAUCAUUUGUUGAUCUUCUUCUCAAAUCAUCAGAAGAGGACUUAAAGCAAUGGCCUCACAGGUUAGAAAGCAUCAUCAUUUGCCUUUUA